GGAGAGGUGACGGAGUGGUCUAACGUGCAUGAUUGGAAAUCAUGUGUACUCGCAAGGGUACCGAGGGUUCGAAUCCCUCCCUCUCCGCCA
rnacentral:tRNA from 1 species